rnacentral:precursor_RNA from 14 species
CCAUCCACAGACAUGCUGCGUGCAGUGCCCUACUCAAGACAGUGGCAAUCAUGUCUAAUUAAAUGUGAUUGACACGUCUGUGAGUAGAGUAAUGCAUGAAAUGUACAACAUAUGUGAU